AGGGCAAAGGAAGCUUCAAAACAUUGUGCUGCCGUGGUUCUUUCCUUAGUGAUGGAUUCUUUGCAAUGGCGACGGAAUUUACACGGCGUGAGGUGCGUUUGAUAAUGGCAUUCCGAGACAGGUGGCACAUCCUCCCUGGCCUUCGCUUCGCUCGGUCAACCCGGUUGACCUACAAAAGAGCACAAGGGUAUCUUCGAAUGAAAGCGCAUCAUUUUACACCAACCCCUUCCAAAUAAGAACAUUCCACUUGAAGCACCUUCGCAACAUCAAAAGAAACGGUACAUGCGGACACCGGGACAGAACAGAAUCAGCACAAAAAUGCCCACCCCCACAGAGGGGUAGUGGGUGAAACGUGGUAUGUGAAACGUGCACGAGCCCAACCGGAAAGUAUAAUGUUUCCGUUACUGUGUUGGCGUCGGUGGCGUGCCGUGUGUGUUGCAAUGCAUUCGUAAAAACAGAACACUGUGCCGAAAUGGCAAUUACAGAACAACACCUCGAACGAGAGCUUGAAGCAACAACCAGACAGGCGCCAGCUGCGAACGGGAAAAAAAAACAGACACAAACAGAGGAAGCUCACCCAAAGCUCAAGGCCAAAUUCCAUCAGCACCAGGCAGGAAAAACUGAUUGAAAAAUGCGCACCGAAACGCGCUGAGGUGAAGUAACAGCGCCCGGCAACAUCGCCGAAUCAUCGCGAUCAACCAAUUGCUCGAUUAUUAAUGGUACCGUAACCUAAAUAGCGCCGGCCUCAGUACACCGUGUGCGACCAUUUCUUUCGAUGUUCGAUCGGUUUCCCCGCUCGCCAAACGAACGCUUGACAAAUGAACGUGUACGUACAGCGUAUAUGUACAGCAUAAAUCCAACACACGAACACACAUGCCACAUGUGGUGUUGGUAUUUAAUUUUCCCCCAAAAUGUUACCCCUUGUUUCUUCCAUCUUCCUCUCUCCCCUUCAGUGGU